rnacentral:lncRNA from 1 species
CGGGGCCGGGGGGCGCGGGGCCGGGGGCCCCCCCCGCGGCGGAGACUUCGCCUACGCGCACCUGGCCUGGCUCAUCUACUCCAUCGCCUUCACGCCCAAGGCGGCGCUGAUCCUGGGCACCUCCAUCCUGGAGCUGAUCGAGCUGCGCCUGCCGCUGGGCACCACCGGCUUCCGCAUCACCCUGGCGCUCUCCGCCCCGCUGCUCUACUGCCUGCUGCGGGCCAUCGGCACCGAGGGCUCCGGGCAGCUGCUGCUGCCCCCGCAGCCGCCGCCGCAGCACCGCGCCGCCGCCGCCUUCCUCGCCACCUGCCUCGACCUCCUCGACAGCUUCUCCCUGCUCGAGCUGGUGCUGCAGCCCGGCCGCCCGGCGCCGCUGCCCGCCCCGCUGCGCUACCUCCUCAUCGCCGUCUAUUUCCUCUGCCUGGCCUCGCCGGUGCUGUGGCUCUACGAGCUCAGCGCCGCCCGGCCGCCCGGAGCCGCCCGCCUCGCCCUGCACCUGCUGCUGCCCGCCGGGCUGCUGGACGCCCCGCUGCUGGCCCUGCGCUGCCUCCUGCUCCUGCGCUACCAGCAGCCGCUCUCCCUCUUCAUGCUCAAGAACCUCUUCUUCCUCGCCUGCCGCGGCCUCGAGGCGCUGGAGACCUGCUGCCUCCUGCGGCCUGCCGCCGCCCCAACGCCCGCCAAGUACGGAGCCCCCGCCAUGCCCCCCGCUGCCGCCGCCCCGCUGGCCCACGGGCUCUCGGACGCCGACGUGGGUCCCCACGGGUAUGUCAACGCCUUGGCGGUCACUGCCCAGGGCUGAGACCCCACCGCCGCCGACAAUGCUACCGCUCCUCACCACGAGGCUUCUUCCAGGCCUCCUGCCCCUCCGUGACGCUCGGAGGAGCCCACCCUUUCCCCCGCCAAGACACCGGGUUGCUGCGUGACCAUUGGGGUCCAGUUUCCCUUUCCUUCCCUCAACGGCAGGGACCGUUGGAUAUUUUCCCCCUCGUUUGGGAACUCCUGCUGACUGUGGUGAUGGGAUCCGAGUGGGGCCCAAACGACAGCCACGCGCCUUUGGGGUGCGCGCAGGGCAAAGGAAGCGCUCCCUGGUUCCAGCAGGUCUCCCAGCGCCGCCACCUCUGCUUCAAUACAGAGCCUGAGGGGGUCGGGGAGAAGCAGCAGCCGGGGAGCCUCUGGAAGCAACCUGCUCGUUUCAAGCCUAGGAGACCCUUCCUCCUAGCUGAAAAGUCUACCUCUGUGCUCCAACCUGUCGCGUCUUACGUUGACUUCACACGCUAUGGACCAGGUCCAGGGGCUCACACCCCAUUUCACUACCCCCGAGACAUUUAUUUCUGGUGA